rnacentral:lncRNA from 10 species
AACGGAACUGCCAAGCACUGGUAUCAGGGACUUGGGAUGGCCUGAACCAUCGCAGCCCUGAGUCAUAUGACACAGCAGUUUUCUUCAGCCCUGCCCGUGAGGUAGGAGACUGUCAGGUUGGUUCAGCUCCAACCAUCUCAGCUCCUUCAUGAUUGUUUCGUCAUCAUCACCAUCGUCACUGUCAUCAUCAUCAUCAUCACCACCAGUGAUUUCCUGAAUGCCAACCAAGCACCAGUCAUCAAGCGUGAGCCACGGUGCAAAGAUGGAGGCAGGCUCUCCAUUCUAAGGGAACCUCUCAGGCCAGUAGGGAAGGCAAGAUUCAGACACCAGGGACAGGCAGCCUGGGAUGACAGGUGGAACAAGGAGGAGACACAAGAACCCCCACCCCAACCCAGGAACCCACAUCACAGGCCAGACCUGCAUGAUCGCCA